GAUGAACGCUGGCGGCGUGCCUAAUACAUGCAAGUCGAGCGAACAGACGAGGAGCUUGCUCCUCUUACGUUAGCGGCGGACGGGUGAGUAACACGUGGAUAACCUACCUAUAAGACUGGGAUAACUUCGGGAAACCGGAGCUAAUACCGGAUAAUAUAUUGAACCGCAUGGUUCAAUAGUGAAAGACGGUUUUGCUGUCACUUAUAGAUGGAUCCGCGCCGCAUUAGCUAGUUGGUAAGGUAACGGCUUACCAAGGCAACGAUGCGUAGCCGACCUGAGAGGGUGAUCGGCCACACUGGAACUGAGACACGGUCCAGACUCCUACGGGAGGCAGCAGUAGGGAAUCUUCCGAAAUGGGCGAAAGCCUGACGGAGCAACGCCGCGUGAGUGAUGAAGGUCUUCGGAUCGUAAAACUCUGUUAUUAGGGAAGAACAAAUGUGUAAGUAACUAUGCACGUCUUGACGGUACCUAAUCAGAAAGCCACGGCUAACUACGUG
rnacentral:rRNA from 1 species